rnacentral:rRNA from 1 species
CGAAUGCUGACAUAAGUAACGAUAAAGCGGGUGAAAAGCCCGCUCGCCGGAAGACCAAGGGUUCCUGUCCAACGUUAAUCGGGGCAGGGUGAGUCGACCCCUAAGGCGAGGCCGAAAGGCGUAGUCGAUGGGAAACAGGUUAAUAUUCCUGUACUUGGUGUUACUGCGAAGGGGGGACGGAGAAGGCUAUGUUGGCCGGGCGACGGUUGUCCCGGUUUAAGCGUGUAGGCUGGUUUUCCAGGCAAAUCCGGAAAAUCAAGGCUGAGGCGUGAUGACGAGGCACUACGGUGCUGAAGCAACAAAUGCCCUGCUUCCAGGAAAAGCCUCUAAGCAUCAGGUAACAUCAAAUCGUACCCCAAACCGACACAGGUGGUCAGGUAGAGAAUACCAAGGCGCUUGAGAGAACUCGGGUGAAGGAACUAGGCAAAAUGGUGCCGUAACUUCGGGAGAAGGCACGCUGAUAUGUAGGUGAAGUCCCUCGCGGAUGGAGCUGAAAUCAGUCGAAGAUACCAGCUGGCUGCAACUGUUUAUUAAAAACACAGCACUGUGCAAACACGAAAGUGGACGUAUACGGUGUGACGCCUGCCCGGUGCCGGAAGGUUAAUUGAUGGGGUCAGCGCAAGCGAAGCUCUUGAUCGAAGCCCCGGUAAACGGC